CUGCAGCCAAGUAAGCCGACUAGCUUCCUUUUUCAUUGGAACCUGGUAUGCAAAGCCACAAACAGUAGCUUCUCUUGGAUGUAUACAGCCAGUGGCAUGGAUGAGUUACCAUAAGACACUUGGACCAGCA